rnacentral:rRNA from 1 species
UACGUAGGGAGCAAGCGUUGUCCGGAAUCAUUGGGCGUAAAGAGCGCGUAGGCGGUCCGGUAAGUCGGUUGUGAAAACUGGGGGGCUCAACCCUCAGACGCCGACCGAUACUGUCGGGCUAGAGUCCGGAAGAGGCGAGUGGAAUUCCUGGUGUAGCGGUGAAAUGCGCAGAUAUCAGGAGGAACACCAAUGGCGAAGGCAGCUCGCUGGGACGGUACUGAGCUAAGGCGCGAAAAGCGUGGGGGAGCGAACAGG